AUUGGGUUAACGACUGAAACGGCAUCCUUUUUUUCUUUUUAAAAAAAGAUACAGUGUAAGGCGUGUUAAAAC
rnacentral:sRNA from 1 species